UAUGGAUUUAUCAACACCUGUCUGCAAUCUCUUGUGAUAGAGAAAUUUGGUGAAGAAACAUGGGAAAAAUGGAAAACUUCUGCAGAAGUACAAGAUGCCUUCAUGACCUACACGAUGUAUGAUGACGUCAUCACCAUUAAGCUCAUCCAAGAGGCCUGCAACAUUCUGGGUGUCUCCAUGGAAGCCAUCCUGAAACUCUUUGGAGAAUACUUCUUUCAAUUCUGUAAGAUGUCUGGCUAUGACAGGAUGCUACGGACACUGGGAGGAAAUCUCAUGGAGUUUAUUGAAAACCUGGAUGCCCUCCACAGUUACCUGGCACUCUCUUAUCAGGAGAUGAAUGCACCAUCGUUUCGUGUGGAGAGAGGAGCAGAUGGGAAAAUGUUUCUCCAUUACUACUCGGAUAGAAGUGGUCUGUGCCACAUUGUACCAGGUAUCAUUGAGGCUGUGGCCAAAGACUUCUUUGACAUUGAUGUAACCAUGGACAUUCUUGACAUGAAUGAAGAAGUGGAGAGGACAGGGAAGAAGGAGCAUGUUGUGUUUCUGAUUGUACAGAAGGCUCACAGGAAGAUGAGAAAGACAAAGCCAAAAAGGUUACAAGACAGUCAGGGCAUCGAGAGAGACCAAGAGGCCCUCCAGGCAGCUUUCCUCAGGAUGAAGGAGAAAUAUUUGAAUGUCUCUGCUUGUCCUGUGAAAAAAUCCCACUGGGAUGUUGUGAGAAGCAUAGUCAUGUUUGGAAAAAGGCAUCUCAUGAACACCUUUGAGCCAAUUUAUCCUGAGAGACUCUGGAUUGAAGAGAAGACAUUCUGCAAUGCUUUUCCUUUCCACAUUGUAUUCAAUGAAUCACUACAGGUGAAGCAAGCCAGAGUGAACAUUCAGAAGUACGUACCAGGACUCCAAACCCAGAAUAUUCAACUGGAUGAGUAUUUCUCCAUCAUUCAUCCUCAAGUUACCUUCAACAUUUUCAGCAUCCGCAGAUUUAUCAACAGUCAAUUUGUCCUGAAGACACGAAGAGAAAUGAUGCCUGUAGCAUGGCAAAGUCAGACUACACUCAAACUUCGAGGCCAGAUGAUCUGGAUGGAGUCCAUGCGGUGCAUGGUGUACCUGUGCUCUCCGAAGCUCCGCAACCUGCAAGAGCUGGAAGAACUCAACAUGCAUCUUUCUGACCUUGCCCCCCAUGACACCACCAGGGAUCUCAUCCUCCUGAACCAGCAGCGGCUGGCUGAGAUAGAGCUGUCCAACCAGCUGGAAAGGAAGAAGGAGGAGCUACGGGUCCUCUCCAAGCACUUGGCCAUUGAAAAGAAGAAAACAGAGACCUUACUUUAUGCCAUGCUGCCCAAACACGUGGCCAACCAGCUGAGGGAGGGCAAAAAGGUGGCUGCAGGAGAAUUUAAAAGCUGCACGAUUCUUUUCAGCGAUGUAGUGACAUUUACUAACAUCUGUACUGCCUGUGAACCUAUACAAAUAGUGAACAUGCUGAAUUCCAUGUACUCCAAGUUUGACAGAUUAACCAGUGUGCACGCAGUCUAUAAAGUAGAAACAAUAGGAGAUGCUUAUAUGGUGGUAGGAGGUGUACCAGUGCCUAUUGGAAACCAUGCUCAAAGAGUGGCUAAUUUUGCCUUGGGGAUGAGAAUUUCUGCAAAGGAAGUGAUGAAUCCUGUUACUGGAGAACCCAUCCAGCUCAGAGUGGGGAUCCAUACUGGACCAGUCUUAGCAGAUGUUGUAGGAGACAAGAUGCCACAGUACUGCUUGUUUGGUGACACUGUGAACACAGCUUCUAGGAUGGAAAGUCAUGGGCUUCCCAACAAAGUGCACCUCAGUCCCACAGCCUACAGAGCCUUGAAAAAUCAAGGGUUUAAAAUCAUUGAGAGGGGUGAAAUUGAAGUGAAAGGUAAAGGGAGAAUGACCACAUACUUUUUGAUCCAGAACUUGAAUGCCACAGAGGAUGAGAUCAUGGGGAGAUCUAAAACCCCAGUUGAUCACAAG
rnacentral:sRNA from 1 species